UACGAAGGGGGCUAGCGUUGCUCGGAAUCACUGGGCGUAAAGCGCACGUAGGCGGCUUCUUAAGUCAGGGGUGAAAUCCUGGAGCUCAACUCCAGAACUGCCUUUGAUACUGAGGAGCUUGAGUCCGGGAGAGGUGAGUGGAACUGCGAGUGUAGAGGUGAAAUUCGUAGAGAUGUGGAGGAACACCAGUGGCGAAGGCGACUCUUUGGCCUGUAACUGACGCUGAGGCGCGAAAGCGUGGGGAGCAAACAGG
rnacentral:rRNA from 1 species